ACUGCGAGUGAAGCGGGAAAAGCUCAAAUUUAAAAUCUGGCAGUCUUUGGCUGUCCGAGUUGUAGUCUGGAGAAGUGCUUUCCGUGCUGGACCGUGUACAAGUCUCUUGGAACAGAGCGUCAUAGAGGGUGAGAAUCCCGUCUUUGACACGGACUACCAGUGCUUUGUGAUGCGCUCUCAAAGAGUCGAGUUGUUUGGGAAUGCAGCUCAAAAUGGGUGGUGAAUUCCAUCUAAAGCUAAAUAUUGGCGAGAGACCGAUAGCGAACAAGUACCGUGAGGGAAAGAUGAAAAGCACUUUGGAAAGAGAGUUAAACAGUACGUGAAAUUGCUGAAAGGGAAACGCUUGAAGUCAGUCGCGUUGGCCAGGACUCAGCCUUGCUUUUUUGCUUGGUGCAUUUUCUGGUUGACGGGUCAGCAUCAGUUUUGAUUGUCGGAAAAAGGUUGGAGGAAUGUGGCACCUUCGGGUGUGUUAUAGCCUCUGGUCACAUACGACGGUUAGGACUGAGGAUAUCAGCACGCCUUUAUGGCCGGGGUUCGCCCACGUUCGUGCUUAGGAUGCUGGCAUAAUGGCUUUAAGCGACCCGUCUUGAAACACGGACCAAGGAGUCUAACAUACCUGCGAGUGUUUGGGUGGAAAACCCGAGCGCGUAAUGAAAGUGAAAGUUGAGAUCCCUGUUGUGGGGAGCAUCGACGCCCGGACCUGACGUUCUCUGAUGGAUCCGCGGUAGAGCAUGUAUGCUGGGACCCGAAAGAUGGUGAACUAUGCCUGAAUAGGGUGAAGCCAGAGGAAAC
rnacentral:rRNA from 1 species